GUCGCGGAAAAUUCCGUGACCGGGCGUAGGAACCCGUUGGUAAACUUGGCGCACGCACUAGGCGCCCCUGCACCACAGCUGGCGCUUUUUUU
rnacentral:sRNA from 1 species